rnacentral:misc_RNA from 1 species
ACGAACAGAAUGGACUUUCGCCGGUCCUUUCAUCUUAUCUAUACCACACCUGUGCACCUUCGGUAGGCUCUCCCUCUCGCGAGAGGGGGGGGUCUAUGUUUCGAACGUACCCUAUGUACUACUAUACACAAUCCAAGGCCAGAAUGUUAAACAAUUUA